AUAAUAACCAGGACAAGGAAAAUUAAGCAGGUAAACUGUUCAGAGAGCCGCCGGUAGGUGCAAGGCGGUCAGCACAACUGCCCAACUCACCUUCGAGUUGCCCGGCAUAAAAAAUCGGGCCGGUUUUCGACCGUUAUCAGAAUUAAGUGGGUAUAUUUUACCAAUUAGGGUGGUACCGCGGGAGAUGCCUCUCGUCCCUUUU
rnacentral:ncRNA from 1 species